rnacentral:rRNA from 1 species
UACGUAGGGGGCAAGCGGUUGUCCGGAUUUAUUGGGCGUAAAGAGCGUGUAGGCGGCUAGGUAGGUCCGUUGUGAAAACUCGAGCUCAACCAUCCGGAGACGCCGGUGGAAACCAUCUAGCUAGAGUCCGGAAGAGGAGAGUGGAAUUCCUGGUGUAGCGGUGAAUGACGCAGAUAUCAGGAAGAACACCCGUGGCGAAGGCGGCUCUCUGGGACGUGACUGACGCUGAGACGCGAAAGCGUGGGGAGCGAACAGG